rnacentral:rRNA from 1 species
AUUGAACGCUGGCGGCAUGCUUUACACAUGCAAGUCGAGCGGCAGCGCGGGGGCAACCCUGGCGGCGAGCGGCGAACGGGUGAGUAAUACAUCGGAACGUGUCCCGUAGUGGGGGAUAGCCCGGCGAAAGCCGGAUUAAUACCGCAUAUGCUCUACGGAGGAAAGUGGGGGACUCGCAAGGGCCUCACGCUAUGGGAGCGGCCGAUGUCCGAUUAGCUUGUUGGCGGGGAAUGGCCCACCAAGGCGACGAUCGGUAGCUGGUCUGAGAGGAUGAUCAGCCACACUGGGACUGAGACACGGCCCAGACUCCUACGGGAGGCAGCAGUGGGGAAUUUUGGACAAUGGGGGAAACCCU